CUCCUUUAUUUCAGUUUCUCCUUUCUUGCUGUCAGGUGAUGUGCAUGGCUCUUCAUUCCAUUUUAAUUUAUCAGUUGUGAUGUAUACAGUAUCUGUUUCUGUAGAUUGUUAUCGACUGCCCUCAGAAUUGCAACACACACUUCACUUUUCAUAGGCUCCUAGCAAUUUUGCCUUAUCAGGGAGAAAUCUUGCCAUCAGGUAGGUUCUUUCUCUUCUCUUUUAUGUCAUAGUUUUCUUACAUAUUCCACAUAUCCCAAGAACCCACAUUAAAAAUUCAUCAGAUGCAUGUUAUAAUUUUUGGUUCAAUCAUUGAAUCCAUUUUGUUUUAAAAUAUUUAUUUAUUUUACUUGAAAGUCACAGUUACACAGAGGGAGAGAAGGAGAGGCACAGAGAGAGAGAGAGAGAGAGAGGUUUUCCAUCCUUCCAUCCCCUGGUUCACUCCCCGAGGGCUGCAAUGGCCAGAACUGCCCCAAUCUGAAGCCAGGAGCCAGGAGCUUCUUCCAGGUCUCCCAUGUGGGUGCAGGAGCCCAAGGACUUGGGUCAUCUUCUACUGCUUUUGCAGGUCAUAGUAUAGAGGUGGUUGGAAGUGGAGUUACCGGGUCUCAAACCGGUGCCCAUAUGGGAUGCUGACACUGCAGGAGGCAGCUUUACCUGCUAUGCCACAGCACCGGCCCCCAUUGAAUCCAUUUUUAAAACCUAUUGGGGCCGGCACUGUGGUGCAGUGGGUUAAGUCUGAGGUGUCACUAGUCAUGGUUAGGGGCCUGGAACUCUUCUUCUCCUGCAGUGGAAGGCUGUGUCUUUAACUGUCAGUGUGAUGACACCUGCCUUCCCAGAAUGCACCCGUCACAUCCGGGUCAUGGAUGCAUGCUUGCACCCUAACAGGAUUGUGGAGCCCCUCAGAGGGCGCACCAGCCGGAAGGAGCUCCACCUCCAGCGCGGAUGAAGGCUGCUGUUUUCUCUCUUCUCCACGGAGCGCUGCACGUGCGGAGCCACGGACCGCUUGUGCGUGCUUUUCCCUGUGCAGAGCCAUCCACCUUGGCACUUUCCCGCUCUCUUUAUCUCCGUCGCGUGCACGGACCACCUCAACCGUAGGCUGUGGACCUCCAGGGAUCCCAAGUGAAAAUCAGCGACGUUUACCAACGCCUCCUGAUGGCUGAUUCUCAGAACCGUAAGUUGGCCUCUUACUAAAAUGACCAAAACCUGCACUCCUCUUUCCCAUUCUUUCUUCCCCUCUACCUCUUAGUCUUUUUAACCUAAUGUUGUAGUAGGAAAACUGGCAUCUGGUCUGCUUGUGUUUUACUGUGACCUGCUGUUCUC
rnacentral:lncRNA from 1 species